UUUCACUGGCUGUUGACGAGGUGGGACGCUACUGUCCCACAUACCCUAGAGAGGUUAAUUAACGUGCAGACAUCGCUAAAAAUGAAGCCCAUUAAAUUUUAUUUCAAGCGAAAAAGAGACGAGGAGAAAGAGGAAUCCGGCGAGGGGGAUUCGCAACUAAUGAAGCCUCUUCACAAGGUUUACCUGAGGAGGCUAACGUUGACAUGGCGGCUAACGUUAGGGAUGCUGAAAACAUUAGCGAAGCUAUCGUGACCCCCGUGGUCACUAGCCGGUGGAGGGAGAACAUAUAGAUUCAAUGCGAAUUGGCUCAAAAUGUUCCCAUGGCUAGAGUUCGAAAACAACAUCAUGUUCUGCAAAUAUUGUAGAGGGCAGAAACAAGCGGGCAACUUGUCCUUCGUGUCAGGAAACCCGCAUCUGAAAAGAGAUAGCGUAGCGAAACAUAACAUCUCGCGGCGGCAUAUCCAGUGCAGAGAUCUGUACCUGUCGAGACAGGUAGAAGCCAUCAGGCACGGUGUCAGCAGCCUUGAGGAGGCAAGUGCUGCUGUCUGAGGAGAAGAUGCAGAUGAAAAUAAAGAUAAACGUCGCUUGCUUCAUUGCGAAAGAAGAAGAACCUUUCGUCAAAUUUGGGCCGCUUAGACUCCACCACAAAAACGGACUUGACAUUAAUCCCACAUACGACAAUGAUGUAAGACGUGUGGAGAUGAUCGGUCAAAUUGUUGACAUGAGAGCCUGUCAGCGAAGCUGAAAGCCGCGAAGUAUCCUGCCAUUCUAAUAGACGGAGACACUGGUAUAUCCAACACCGAAUGCGAGAUUGUCUAUGUAUUGGAGGAUGGGAAGCCAGUCAAUCUCCUGGUCGGACAACAGACCCUUGAGCACUCUCAUGCCAUUGGUAAGUAGUUCCUCUUUAUAGGCUGUAUUCUUGUGUAAAGUUUCAUCAUUAUUCAUAAUGGAGAUAAUUUAGUUUGUCAGAAACAAUUUGGUAUAAUUGUUUUCUGGUGUUGUCCUUCGAGGUGUUUUGGAUGCCACAUUUUGUGUUGUUUGCCCAGAGAAGGAUCAUGGAAGAAGAGGUACAUCUCCUUCGGGGCAGAUGGUGCCUCCGUGAACAUGGGCCACCGUGGGGGAGUGAGGAAGGGGGGCAUAUAAUCCCAAUCCACUGUAUGCCACAUAGACUAGAGCUGGCAAUACUGACCAUUCAGAAGAAAGAGCCAAAUGUGUCGGUCGUGUACGAUCUUCUGAAUCUGAUAUGAAGGCGUAUCACUUCAGUGGAAAAUCCAAACGAGAGCUCUAUGUUCUCGGGCAAGAGCUCGGUGUGGCCAUUUGCACACUGUCUAGCGUCAAGGGAACUCGCUGGAUCUCCCAUGUCCACAGAGCCCUCAAAGUGUUCCUACGGCAUGGACAAGACAGGGACCUUGUUCUGCAGCACAUGGAGCACCUGGCCGUAGCAUCAACAACAGCGGAAGUUCAAGGGCGUGCAAAGAAGACAUGUUCGAGGAGCUAUCCUCACUUAGCCUCACCAUGCACAGGAAUGACCUGAUCCUCCCCCAAGCCACAGAGUUGAGGAAGACAGUGACCAGACUGGAAGCACUAAAGCUUAGGGCAAAGGCAGGAGGCAUGCUGGAGAAGAUCCAGACCAUGCUUGCUCAGCAGCAGGGUGAUGAGAAGAGAUUCCAGGGGAAUCUGAAAGGCUUUACGGACCAUCACCAAUCCCCAGCUGAAGCAACACAUGGAGGCGGCCAUCAACAUCGGCGUGGAUGAUCUCAAAGCCAGGUUCGGUGGUUUGCUGAAGGAUGAGGGUGUCCAGACCCCAGUGGAGUCUUUCAGAGUGCUAAACCCUGACACAUGACCAGGCCAGCCUUCUCACCUUUGGCGAUGAUGGUGUGGCAUACCUGAUGAGGCAUUUCAAGGAGCCUCUAGAGAGAUCAGGGUGCAACAUGGCUGCAAUCCAGGAUGAGUGGCAGGGCCUGAAAAUCCUGGUCAGCCACAAUUUCAAGGACAAGUCCUACAGUGGCCUGUGGGAGACCAUGUUGACAAAGGACCCCUACAGGCACGAUUACAUGAACAUGCUGGAGUUGGUGCAGCUUAUGCUGGUGCUGCCCAUUUCAGCCGCCCAGUGUGCGAGGCUUCUAUGCGCACAACCAGAUUAAGAAUUCGACAAGAAGCUGCCUUGGGGUCUCCACCACCGAAGACCUGAUGAGGAUCAGCCUGGAGGGGUCUUCUGUCGAGGAGAUCGAUCCGACUCCUGCCGUGGACAGCUGGCUGACCUCUUAGCGUGCCAGACGGCCAACAUACAAAAGCAGCUGGACAACUGAUAUUCUUUGCGUCUAGUAGGCAUGGGUCAAUGUGUGAUUUUGGUGGUAUGUGCUGUUCCACAGAUGUGUCCCUUAGUACACACACGCAGUAUAAAUGUAUGUAAUAAAUUGUUAAUAAACUCUGUUACAUUUUUCA